CCUACGGGCGGCAGCAGUGGGGGAUAUUGCACAAUGGGGGGAACCCUGAUGCAGCGACGCCGCGUGAGUGAAGAAGUAUUUCGGUAUGUAAAGCUCUAUCAGCAGGGAAGAUAAUGACAGUACCUGAAUAAGAAGCCCCGGCUAACUACGUGCCAGCAGCCGCGGUAAUACGUAGGGGGCAAGCGUUAUCCGGAUUUACUGGGUGUAAAGGGAGCGUAGACGGAAUGGCAAGUCUGAAGUGAAAUGCCCGGGCUCAACCCGGGAACUGCUUUGGAAACUGUCGAUCUGGAGUGUUGGAGAGGUAAGUGGAAUUCCUGGUGUAGCGGUGAAAUGCGUAGAGAUCAGGAAGAACACCGGAGGCGAAGGCGGCUUACUGGACAAAGACUGACGUUGAGGCUCGAAAGCGUGGGAAGCAAACAGGAUUAGAUACCCGGGUAGUC
rnacentral:rRNA from 1 species